rnacentral:tRNA from 1 species
UUUCUUAUGGUGUAAAUAACACGUCAAUUUUUCAAGUUGAAGAUGGGUGAGUUGCUCUAAGAGGC